UCAAAUAAGAAAGUAAAUUCCUCUCUAUCAUGUUUGGACGGUUAUAUUGAAAGAAAAAAAAAAGAGAACUCCUCAUUCUUUAAGUCAUCGUUCCUCAAUCUGAAUUUUAGGGGUUUACGAUUUGAAGUCGUUUGCAAUCUGAAACCACUUGAAAGCGAUUAAUUUCAGCGUAAAUUCGUAGUCUCUGGUGAGCUAUAACUUCACCGUCAAUCUAAAGGCACAAAGGAGGUGAGAGUUAGACUAUCUUUUGCUGGAACUCGUUUUUAAAUUCUCACAAUAUAAUCAAAUUCAUUAUAAUUUUCAAUUGAUAUGGCAUAUUUGAUUUUCUGUAUUGAGAAGCCAAGGUCUGCUUGUAACUUUGUAUCCAUAUGUAGUGAUAGACACCAGCUGUUUGUUGAAAUGUCAUAUGACUUGUGAGUUAUGAGAUACCAUUCACUUGAAGCUUUACAAAUUAUGAUUAUGUUGUGAAUAGGUUGCCAUUAGCUCUUAUAUAUUUUGAUUAUGUUGUCAAUUAGAGAACCUUCAGUGUUGGGAUUGGGAAUGAGGGUUGACAACUUCAACUUUCAUUAGUGAGGAUUGGCAGCCAUAACUUUCACUUCACUGCUCAUGGUAAUAGAUUUUACUUUUUUGAAGACCAUGUAUUUUCUUUUUAUGUUUGUAGUAUCUCAUCGAAGAAGUUGCUUUUCGUCCAGAGAGACUAAAGAAGAUCUCCCCACAGGUCUAACAUUUAUUUUCUCUGUUAUCAUGGAAUUCCUUGUAGCCCUAGACCAUGAUCCCAUCUUCUUAACCAUGGAGUUAUAAUAUCUCAUAAAUAUCUUCUGCUGUUUAACUUUCUUGACAGGCUGAGAGGAACCUAUUUCUUCUUCUCUCAAUAGAUUCCUAAUUUUCAACAACACAGCAUUUUCCAGAUUUUCCAAAUGCUUUCAUAAUUCGUGGUGCAACAAACAAUGAACUAGUUGAUCAGCUUCAGGAGUUGAAGGUAGGGUUGGUCCUUCUUCAUUACUUAUCUCAUAUAAAAGUUCUUCAAGGCCUAGAAGAUGUACCGGAUAAGAGAUGUUCAUCAUGCAGCGGGGGAUGCAUUAGACUUUCUCUUCCCUGGAAGUGAGUACUAAUAGAGGAUGCACAAGAAGAUGUAUAAAGCAAACUACUCACAAAUAUGAAAGAAUGUUCAAUUGUCCAUCACUUCAGGAGCAUUAUAUUUGUACCUUAUUUGUAGUUUCUCAUUUUCAAUACUUUUAUACGGUUGAUGUUACUAGUAAAGCAAUAGCUUGUAAGUUUUGUAAAAAAUUCAUUGUUUGUUUACUAUUUUUACUGAUAUGGAAGUAUUUUAAUAAGAAUUCAUUUUUCUUGUA